UUGGCGUUGUGGUAUUAAAGCUAUGAAAUCUUUUAUUUUGAAAUUUCUUGUUUCUUUUACCCAACUUUUUUUGUCCAUCAGACACAAUCUAUUUUACUACUACUACUAAUAAUGAUAAUACUACAUUGAUAUAUUGAUUUUAUUCGAAGAAUGCAUAGAUUGUGACAUCUAAUCAGAAUAAUCUGGUGCCAUGUGAUUCUGUGAUCUCUGUGUUGGUGCACAUUGAAGGGUUAUGAUCGUGACCUCACGGGCAUCCAUGUUCCUGGUUACCUGGGCUACAGUCCCACCCCUUCUAGUUAAUGAGCGGUUGGCUGGGGCAGCAGUGUUAGCAUCUUCUUGAACUACAUGAGCUCACAGCUGGACCAGCUGGUGUUGCACUGAUGAUAUUUUAUUCAACAUCAUGCUCUUGAGUGCUAUAUUAUUUCACCAUUUAUUAAAGCAAGAUAUUAAUAUUUCAUUUGGCUUAUGGUUGUCAAAGUAAAGAAAUACAGUUAUAGAUUCUCAUUCUUGGUUGGCCCUGCCACCACAGCUAGUUCUAUAACAAGACUGGAACUGGGCUGUUGCCAAGCGACAAAGUCAUCUUGAUGAACUCUUGCACAUCUCUGUAGUUCUGGACUCCAGCUUCUUUACAUCAUAUAGAUUUGUCUCCAUGUUUCCAUUUAUCAUUCAGCCAGUGAAUGAAGAGUGCAUUGACGGUUACUUUGGUUGCCUGUGAGCAUCACACCCUCAGCCUCUGAUCAUCAUCUCUGGAGACUUUAAUCAUGCAUCGCUGUCCUCCACUCUCCCUACCUUCAGCCAGUAUGUGGAAUGCCCAACAAGAGACAAUAAAACUUUGGACUUACUGUAUGCAAACACCAAGGAUGCAUACACCUCCUCCCCCCUCCCCCUGCUGGGCCACUCAGAUCACAACCAUACUAAUGGUGAAGAAACAACCCCCCACCAUCAGAUACUGAGGCGCUGCAGGACUGUUUCGAGACCACAUACUGGGAUGUACUGUGCAGCCCACAUGGUGAUGACAUCGACACCAUGACAGAUUGUAUCACAGACUAUAUAAACUUCUGUGCUGAGAACAUCGUACCCACCAGGAAAGUAAGGUGUUUCUCCAACAGUAAACCUUGGGUGACCCUGGAACUUAAAGUCCUCCUGAAGGAGAAGAUGAGGGUCUUUGAAUCCGGGGACAAGGAGGAGCUGAGGAGGGUGCAGAAGGAGCUGAAGAAGAAGAUCAGGGAGGGGAAGGCCAGCUACAAGACCAAGAUGGAAAACCUUCUGCAACAGAACAAUGCAAGGGAGGUCUGGAGAGGCCUGAAAUCCAUCUCAGGUCAUAGCAGGGGCCAUGAGAGGGGACCUGAAGCAGGAGACAGCGAGUGGGCCAACGAGCUGAAUCUGUUCUUCAAUAGAUUUGACUCUGCUCCCACUCCUCCCCCGAUUCAUCAAACCAACGACCCGUCUGCUGCUUCUUCUUCACACCACCCCAGUUCCAUGGCACCGGCAUCAUCAACCCGCCUCCACUCAUCCUCCACCACCCCCUCCAGCACCACCCCCAGCCUCUCCGUAACAGCUGACCAGGUGAGAAGUGAGCUGAGGAAGAUGAAGCCAAGGAAAGCCACGGGUCCUGAUGGCAUCAGCUCCAGACUCCUGAAGGACUGUGCAGACCAGCUCUGUGAGGUGCUACUGCACAUCUUCAGCUUGAGCCUGAGUCUGGAGAGGGUCCCAGCACUGUGGAAGACUUCCUGCGUGAUUCCUGUCCCCAAGACAGCGCACUCCAGGGAGCCCAACCACUUCAGACCUGUGGCCCUCACUCCUCACCUGAUGAAGACUCUGGAGAGAAUCGUGCUGAGGAACCUCUGCCUCCUGGUGAGCUCUCAUCUGGAUCCUCUGCAGUUUGCUUACCAGCCGAACAUCGGGGUGGACGACGCAGUCAUCUACCUGCUGCAGAGGUCCAUGGCUCACUUGGAGAACAGCACUGUGAGGGUCAUGUUUUUUGACUUCUCCAGUGCUUUCAACACCAUCCAGCCUUCACUGCUCAGGGGGAAGCUCUUGAGGGUGGGAGUGGACUGUCACCUAGCCGCAUGGACCGUGGACUACCUCACAGACAGACCACAGUUUGUGAGGCUUCAGAACUGUGUAUCGGACAUGGUGGUCUGCAGCACGGGGGCUCCACAGGGGACAGUGCUCUCCCCCUUCCUCUUCACCCUGUACUCCUCGGACUUCAGCUACAACUCUGGGAGCUGUCACCUCCAGAAGUUCUCUGAUGACACAGCCAUCGUUGGAUGUGAAUCGUCAGGGGAUGAGCGGGAAUACAGGACUGUCAUCACUGACUUUGUCAACUGGUGUGGCACAAACCACCUCCAGCUCAACGCCAGUAAGACAAAGGAGAAGGUCAUGGAUUUCAGCAGGAGGAGGACACCUCAGACUGUUCCAGUGAACAUCCAGGGUCUGGACAUCGAGGUGGUGAAGUCCUAUAGAUUCCUGGGUGUCCACCUCAACAAUAAACUGGACUGGUCAAUCAACAUAGACGUCCUGUACAAGAAGGGCCAAAGUCGUCUCCACCUGCUGAGGAGACUGAGGUCCUUUGGAGUGUGCAGGACUCUGCUCAAGACUUUCUAUGACUCUGUGGUAGCAUCUGCACUUUUCUAUGCAGUGGUCUGCUGGGGGGCAGGGAGCACCGAGAGGGACAGAGAGAGACUGAACAGACUGGUCAGGAGGGCCAGUUCUGUCCUGGACUGCUCUUUGGACUCCCUGGAGGAGUUGGGUGAGAGGAGGAUGUUAACAAAGCUUGUAUCCAUCAUGGACAAUCCCUCUCACCCUCUGCACCAGACUGCUGGGGCCUUAAGCAGCUCCUUCAGCAGCAGACUGAGACUCCCACCUUGCAAGACGGAGCGCUACCGCAGGUCAUUCCUCCCUUCUGCACUUUACAAUGAACUGUAAUAAAACUGGACUCACACCACCACUUUUUUUUCUGGCAUUUAAAUUGUGUAUAUUGUAAAUAGUCUUAUUUUUCUUCUAACUUUUUUUUUCCUAAAUUUUUUUCUUAAUUAUUACAUUUAUUUAAGUUCUUAAUAUUAUGAUCUUUAUUUUUAUAACUGCAUUUUUGCACUCUUUGUCUGUGAUGCUGCUGUGACAAAAGGAUUUCCCCCAUGGGGGAUCAAUAAAGGAAUACUCUAUUCUUCUUCUAUUCUGUUGAUUGAUCGGUCUGGAGAUACAGACUGUUUGUAGUUACUUUAACUGAUGGUUUAUAGAACACUCAGUAUAAAGUGAUUUCAAUCAGAGGUGUUAACAUAAGGACAAACUGUGAGCCAGAACUAGAUCUUACUGCUGGAACAAUCAAGUGUUGUCACCGUCAACUGCAAUCUCUGUCAGCAAAAAAGAAGGGGAAAUAAUUACAAUGUGAGUCAGAGGUGACGAUUGCAGGCUCAUGUUUCACUGACACAGAAGUGACUGUGUUUGAAAACUAUUACAAAAGAAUGAGAGCAACAACUGAAGCAUUUAUUCUGCAUCCAAGCCUGUUAUUGUAUGAUAUGGGUAAUUAAGGCUUCUUUUUAUUCAGACUUUCUCUUCUCUCUGUACUCCACACUCCCUCCAUUCCUUGUGCUCACGCUCAGUACUUUCUGCUCCUCUGACUUUUGUGUUUGCUAUGCCAGUGUGGUCUGAAAUCUAUGAAUGCUACAGUAAGCUAUAAACGUCUCUUCUGAACGGGAAUGAGAGGCAGAUCCUAGUAGGUUUUUAGGAAAUCAGGCGAGGAGGCGGGGAGGUUGAGAUGUGGGAAAAGUGAUUGUGGGGGUAAAAAAGAAAAAGCACAAGCAAAGUUUUGUGAAAAAAUGCUGCACCUCCCUCUCAGUUAGAUUUUAGAGGGCUGUGCUUUGCCUCCUGCUGCUGCUGCUGCCUUGCAGUCUGUCGAAUGUGCGUUGAAUGCAGGAGAGAGUUUGACAGUGAGUUGAAUAGAAAUCUGACUUUGGUGUACAACUAUACUGAAUAUACAGCUGUGAUGUAUAAUUAGAUGUUCCUAUCAACUUUAUUCCACUUAAAAGAGUCGACUCUUCUUCUCUUGUGCGUCUCGUAUUUUGCUGUGCUGACAUGCUCUCCUGCUGUGCCUCUCUUGUUUGAAUGCAGCACAUGAACAUCUCUGACUACUUCACCUUCCCCUUUAGCUUUAAUUACCUUUUCUUCAGCCAUGUCGGAUAGGCAAUUACCCCAUGAUUUCUCAUUUCCCACAUACAGCAUCAUGUGUGUUUCCGUGCCUGUGGUGCAUGCACGAAUGUCAGGGGCUGUGUAUUUUGAGGUGUGGCUACAUGCUGCUGAACGGUCACUGCCUUAUUGGAAUUGGAAACAUUACCCUUCAGGAGACUGUGCGUGUUUGAUGUCACCCAGAGAGAGCUGACUGGUUUGCAUUCGCAGACAUGUUAAUGGAUUUGUGUUUUUGUUAAAACACCACAAAGAUACUCGAUCAGAGAUAUGGAGACAGAUUGAUACACUGCCAAGACACCCAGCUGCUGCUGGGUUUAUUUCUGUGGAUCCCCAAAGUUCAAUAAGUUCAUGACCGAAAGUAUUUGAAGUUUGCAGUGAUUUGGAAGUGAAAUGUAGGAAAAUGAAAAUGACUUUGUCACUUGGAAAUUUUAAGAGGUGCUUACUGUAAAUAUUUUCUAGAUUUUCUUUGACUGUAUUUAUGAUUAGAGUGAAAUUUCCGGUGAUAUAACGGAAAUCUAAUCAAGUUGGUUUCUUGUAAUUUAGUGACCGAGCAUCGAUAGUGCUUGUCUGGAACCUAAAAUAUCUCACACCGCUUGGUUUUAACAUAUACUUGUUUUCUAUCAAGUGUUUCAUUUUUGGAAAUAUCUUUAUGUAGUUCUGGUAUAUGUUAUGUCAUCUGCGGUGGUACUAACAAACAAGUAAAGUUGAAUUUAUGGCUAUAUGAGAACUAAAUACAAAGGGGGAGUGUUCCUGCUGUGACCCUCACUACUUCCGACAACCAAACAAUACUAUUCUUAAGAAUCUAAACCUGAAAAAAACACCAAAGACUGUGACUCUGUUUAUUUUUCAUGUAGUCAAUUAAAAGCUGACAGAAGGAAACCCAUAAUUUAACUGUGUCAGACAGACAAUUUAUUGUCGUGGUCCAAUUAAGACUUUUGCCACGCAAUAAUCUUUUGUAAUUUGAUGUUCACUUACUUUGAUUCGUUCUGGUCUCUUGAUAAUUAGACUGCUUGUUUUGUUUCAUUUUCCAUUUAUGUGUUCAUUGUUCUCAUCAAAACACUAAAACCAGGUUUUUGCAUUUGUUAACCUGGAUGGCCUCAAUCUCAGAACCCAUCAGCUGUUCUCUAACCUCAGUCUGGGCAACUUUUCAGGGCUCCCAAUGGAGUUAAAGGUUUGUAAUAAAGACCUUCCUGCUAGGACUCCUUUUCUAUGUGCUGCCUUUGAUUACAGUCAAGGUAACCACUUGAGAGGUAAGAAUGCAGCUCCAGCUUGGGGGUAGCUUGGUUGUUAGCUGUACUUGUACAUAGAUGUUAUGGUGUCUGAAUGUCAAUUUUUUAUUCAGCAAACAUUAACUCAACUUUAAUCUGCUUCCUUAUUUUAUUUAUUUACAUUUUUCUCAUUGGUGUUGGUGCAACAAAAGCAAGGAUCAAGGCACAACUUGAUUAAGUGUAUUAAAAAGGCGCUGACAGCCAGCUUCAGAGCUUCAACAUGUUUGGAGUAUAUGUUUAAAGAGAUUGUCACCAACAUCAGCUACAUCCUAUAAAUCAUCAUCAACAUUACACCCAUUAAUAACAUUAAAUCAAAUGGGAAACAUCUGUUUAGGGGUAUUAAUUAAAGCUAAAUGUUCAUCAAAUGAUUGCCUGUGGGCUCCAGGAUUACAUUAAGGAGGAUUAGGUUUCCCCACAUCUG
rnacentral:lncRNA from 1 species